ACCAACAUCAAGUUAAUUAGUGAAGCUAAAGUGGAUUUAAAUACAAAAAAAUAACAGAAAUGACCACCUAAUGGCCAUUGAAUGUUUUGAUUAGUUGAUAAUCAAAAUUAACUAUAGAUACAUUGUGAAACUUAAUCUAAUAAUUGAAUCUGUUCACCUUUUCAAUUAUGUAAGCUUUGAAAUAAAAAUCAUGAUGAGAAUGAUAAUAAUUACGAACUAAAUGACUAUUACUUUCUCAAUUCAAUUCUGAGACAAGGUAAAACAAUUAAAAGUUAUAUCAUUAUCAACCUUGGUGAAAGAAUAUCUUCAUUUUCUUGUUCGUUUUUUCAGGGUCGAGUUCAUAAACAUGGGAACACGCAGAAUCUACUCAAAUAAAUUGUCCUAUUAUCAUUCACCAGCAGCAUAAAAAUCAUCAUCAACAUGUUGAUUAUUUACAUUACAAUCUAAUGUUGCUUAACUCAUUUUGAUUAAUCUUUGGGUCAAGCAUUUUGGUACAACAUCAACGAUAAUUACUGAAUUUGGUGCUUUCUGCUGCUACCUGGCUUUACAUUAUCCAUCAAAGUUGAAAGAAAAAUGGUGUCAAUAGCAAUUUAUUCAAAGGAAUGGUCGUAAAUUAACAAUCUAACCAAUGUUUCCAACACAAUCAGGUUAAUGAAAGCUAACAAAUCAGUCCCUAGUUAAAGCAUCACUCAGCAACCCUGAAGAGGCUGAAACACUAUUUCAAGCAGAUUAGUAUUGAAAACGAGUGAUCCAAGAACUCAAGUCUGGCCAGAUUUUUGCUGCAAAACAAUUGAAAGAUGCUCCAGAUACCUGAUUUCAACUGAUUACACUUUCCUUUAUUAAUCAAAAUCCAUCGUUGAAGCAGACUCAAGCAAAAUUCAAGAGGACAAAAUAAGAAUCAAAAAGAUGGUCAUUCAAAGGAUCUAGAGAUGAAGACUGAAAAGACAAAAUUGAGCUUCAAGACUUUUCAUCGAUGAGACGAAAUUGCAGAUUUACAAUAUAAUUUGUAUUGAAAGAGUAAAGAGGAAAAAUCACGAUUACAAGAAAUUUUUAGAUUCCAUUCAUGAACAGAUUCAUUGAAACCUAUCAAUAUCAUAAUGAAGUAAACAAAAGGACAAUCACACCCAAGUCAAUCUAAAAGGUUAGUCCACCUUGAAGCCUCAACUCUGUUAAUUUGGAAGGAUAAAAAUGUCUCUAGAGACAAAUUUUAAAAUAAGUUUAAAAAAGGUUUAGAAGAACAUUUUUUUCUUGUUUUUACUCCCAAUUUUAAAGAGUUUAUUCAACCUUUAUUUGACCAUUGAACGUUUUCAAUUUCAAUUUGAUCUCAUCUUGCCUUAUCCAAGCUCACUAUCUUGACCUUUGGUCACUGACUUAUCCUUUAUUUUCACCCUUUUCAUCAAAAUGUCUUUUACCUUUUCAUUUUCAUGAUUUCCCUCUUUUUAACUGCUGAAUGCUGAUCUUUAAGCCACCUUUGUCAGCACAUUAUAACAGAUCUCAUUAUCAUGUUUUAUCUUCAUCAUGAUAGCAAUGUGAACAACUCGGAAAGUUGUUGAUGAAUCUGUUGACAGGUUAAGCGGCAUAAAAAAGAUUCAAUGUAUUCAACUCUUUUACCUUGUAAAUAAUAUUCAAAUCAUCGACUAAACCUGAAUCUGAAAUUUCCGGUUUUUUAUUAACAAUGAAAAUCCUGAAUCAUUUCAAGUUUAAAGAUGAUUACAUCAACCGAUUACAUAGCAAUUUGAUGUAAAUUGAUUCCAAUAACUAUAAAUGUAGCAAAGCUACAAAUAAAUCACGAACCAAAUUGAAAA